UGUUAGGCGCCUCUGUCUAAGAGGGCUUGUCCAGAUGCCAUCUAUCCAUGUUCUCUAGUAUACUAUUCAAAUCCUAGGGGUGAUAUUAGCUUUCAGUGACUGAGAUGAGUCGGUUCAGUUAACUGCAGUAUCACGUUUGCUGAUGGUUCUCGAGUCCUCAUCCAGGGAUGCGGUUGAACCUAUUCUCCUGGACCUCUCUAUACGGCUUCGGAAUCUCCAAGUAAGUUGAUUCACUAACCAAUGUAACUUUCUUCAACUUUGGAUUUUCUGGUACCAUAAUAGCUUCAAAUUUGUUGAAUUACUGUACUAAUCUGGUUGUAUCACAUUCCAAAUUAUUUGUUUAGAGCUGAUAACAGGGUGGCAUUGUGUUAAAAAGACUUUUGUAUCAGGACACUGUCUAACACUACUCUGUUUGGACAUUCUAUGGUGAUGUCUUUUGCAACAUGAUAUUUUGCAUUAUUUCUCAAGCUUCAAGACAUGUCUCUUGAUACAAGUUGUACUUGAAUUUUAUAUUAUACCCCUUAAGUGUAUGUGCAAGUUGUUAAAUAUAUGAGUGACACCCAUUUAUUGUACUGUGUUAGUGUUGCCGCCUAUGUUGCUCGGACUCUUCAAAAAUGCCGAUGAGUGUAUGUCGGAUCCUCCAAAAGUAGUACAUUUGGACGAUCCAACACGGAUGCAUCAACAUUUUUGGACCGUCUGAACAACAUAGGUUGCCACAAUUGUAGUCUUAAGUUCUAAAAGAGCUGAAGUAAUUUAAUGGUAGGUUUUAUAUUUUGCCUUUGAAAAUUAGUGCAUAUCG